rnacentral:rRNA from 1 species
AUUGAACGCUGGCGGCAUGCCUUACACAUGCAAGUCGAACGGUAACAGGUCUUCGGAUGCUGACGAGUGGCGAACGGGUGAGUAAUACAUCGGAACGUGCCCGAGAGUGGGGGAUAACGAGGCGAAAGCUUUGCUAAUACCGCAUACGAUCUCAGGAUGAAAGCAGGGGACCGCAAGGCCUUGCGCUCACGGAGCGGCCGAUGGCAGAUUAGGUAGGUGGUGGGAUAAAAGCUUACCAAGCCGACGAUCUGUAGCUGGUCUGAGAGGACGACCAGCCAGCCUGGGACUGUGACACGGCCCAGACACCUACUGGAGGCAGCAGUGGGGAAUUUUGGACAAUGGGCGCAAGCCUGAUCCAGCAAUGCCGCGUGCAGGAAGAAGGCCUUCGGGUUGUAAACUGCUUUUGUACGGAACGAAACGGUCCGGGUUAAUACCCUGGGCUAAUGACGGUACCGUAAGAAUAAGCACCGGCUAACUACGUGCCAGCAGCCGCCGCUGUAA